AUGCUUGGCGGAGACCCUGCAAGCUGCUAUGCUGCCCUGGAAGCACUCCUCUUCCUGCCUCACCACCUGUUCAGGAACCGUAUCAUAAGUGGCGCCUUCUUCCACGAACAGUUGCGGUGCUCGCUGUCGGCGUCAGACUCCCAAGCAAGUGAGGAUGACCACGACGCAGAGGAGGACGAGGACCCGAGCUCGAUUCCGACCACGACGCACCGCACAAGAUCCCUGCUUCCUUCCUGA
rnacentral:rRNA from 1 species